rnacentral:rRNA from 1 species
AUCUUCGGAUGUGUAUAAAGUGGCGAACGGCUGAGUAACACGUGGGCAACCUGCCCUUUGCACUGGGAUAGCCUCGGGAAACCGAGGUUAAUACCGGAUACUCCAUAUUUGUCGCAUGGCGAAUAUGGGAAAGCUCCGGCGGCAAAGGAUGGGCCCGCGGCCUGUUAGCUAGUUGGUGGGGUAGUGGCCUACCAAGGCAAUGAUGGGUAGCCGGGUUGAGAGACCGACCGGCCAGAUUGGGACUGAGACACGGCCCAGACUCCUACGGGAGGCAGCAGUGGGGAAUCUUGCACAAUGGGCGAAAGCCUGAUGCAGCGACGCCGCGUGCGGGAUGAAGGCCUUCGGGUUGUAAACCGCUUUCAGCAGGGACGAGGCCGCAAGGUGACGGUACCUGCAGAAGAAGCCCCGGCUAACUACGUGCCAGCAGCCGCGGUAAUACGUAGGGGGCAAGCGUUAUCCGGAUUCAUUGGGCGUAAAGCGCGCGUAGGCGGUCUGUUAGGUCAGGAGUUAAAUCUGGGGGCUCAACCCCUAUCCGCUCCUGAUACCGGCAGGCUUGAGUCUGGUAGGGGAAGAUGGAAUUCCAAGUGUAGCGGUGAAAUGCGCAGAUAUUUGGAAGAACACCGGUGGCGAAGGCGGUCUUCUGGGCCAUGACUGACGCUGAGGCGCGAAAGCUAGGGGAGCGAACAGGAUUAGAUACCCUGGUAGUCCUAGCUGUAAACGAUGGACACUAGGUGUGGGGAGAUUAUACUUUCCGUGCCGCAGCUAACGCAUUAAGUGUCCCGCC